GUCGGAGGGUCUGUCGCCUGCCUUCAAUGUAUAGGGCGGGAGGAAAGUCCGGGCAACGCAGAGCACCAUACUUUCUAACGGAAAGCUAUCGGUAACGGUAGACAAGCGUGACAGAAAACAACCGCCGCGGCUCCCUCCGGGGGGCUUCGGCAAGGGUGAAAAGGCGAGGUAAGAGCUCACCGGGCGGGAUAGCGAUAUUCCGUGCCGCACGCCUUAUGGGUUGCAAGGUCAAGUAUACCGGCAUUUAAGGGCUGCUCGUCCAUUGCCGGGGGGUAGACUGCUAACGGGGCGCUCCGGCGCUCCAGAUAAAUGACAGACGGUGCCGUCGAACUCCGCUUGCGGAAAGCCGGCGCACCACAUAACUCGGCUUAUACUCCGGCCUG
rnacentral:RNase_P_RNA from 1 species